rnacentral:rRNA from 1 species
AACGUAGGAGACAAACGUUAUCCGGAGUUACUGGGCGUAAAGGGCGUGUAGGUGGUAGAGUAAGUCUGGCGUGAAAUUUUUCGGCUUAACCGGGAAAGGUCGUCGGAUACUGCUUAACUAGAGGACGGUAGAGGCGUGUGGAAUUCCGGGUGUAGUGGUGAAAUGCGUAGAGAUCCGGAGGAACACCAGUGGCGAAGGCGACACGCUGGGCCGUACCUGACACUGAUGCGCGAGAGCAUGGGGAGCAAACAGG